GACGAACGCUGGCGGCGCGCUUAACACAUGCAAGUCGAACGGAAAGGCCUGCUUUCCCUUGUGGAUUGCGGGUACUCGAGUGGCGAACGGGUGAGUAACACGUGAGUGAUCUGCCCCCAACUUGGGUAUAAGCCUGGGAAACUGGGUCUAAUUCCCGAUAGGACUGCAGGGUGGUGCCUGUGGUGGAAAACGAUUUUCUAGUGGUUGGGGAUGAGGCCGCGGCCUAUCAGCUUGUUGGUGGGGUAAUGGCCUACCAAGGCGGGGACGGGUAGCCGGCCUGAGAGGGUGGACGGCCACAUUGGGACUGGGAUACGGCCCAGACUCCUACGGGAGGCAGCAGUGGGGAAUAUUGCACAAUGGGCGGAAGCCUGAUGCAGCGACGCCGCGUGGGGGAUGACGGCCUUCGGGUUGUAAACUCCUUUCGACCGCGAGGAAGCCACCUGGUUGGAAGGGUGGUGACGGUAGUGGCAGAAGAAGCACCGGCUAACUACGUG
rnacentral:rRNA from 1 species